rfam:Gossypium raimondii Chr02_contig_1478, whole genome shotgun sequence.
AAUUAAAAUUUUCAUCCGUUUGUAUUGUUAAAAACUAGCGUGGCUAAUAGAAUAACCAAACUAUGACCUAUGGCGUAUCACGUGUACCUAAUAUAGUAGAUGUAUAAAGAUUGGUUUUUAACGGUAGAAAUAGAUGAAUUUUUUAAUA